rnacentral:tRNA from 1 species
GGGGUUUAGCUCAGCUGGGAGAGCAUCUGCCUUACAAGCAGAGGGUCGGGGGUUCGAUCCCCUCAGUCCCC